AGUUGUCUCUCGCUAUGAGGGGGCAGCAAGCAAGUUGGUUGAUGCAGAGCGGAGUGGGCGGGUUGGAGUAUAGGGUUUGACCAUGUCCUGGAUUUAUGCUGGGGCUAAUCUAUUUGUGGCCCUGUAUGCAAGUACUAGUAUCUUGAAGUGGAUGCGGGCAACAAUUGGUAACCAGUGAAGAGAGUGGAGGAGCGGUGUAAUAUGAGAGAACUUUGGGAGGUUGAAGACAAGUCAAGCUGCUGCGUUCUGAAAGAGCUGCAGAGGCCGGAUGCCACAUGCAGGAAGGGCAAUCAGGAGGGAGUUGAAGUAGUCUAGACGUGAUAUGACUAGAGCCUGAACCACAACCUGAGCCCCCUACUGCGUUAGAAGGGGGCAUAUCCUUCUGAUGUUAUGCAGCAUGUAUCUACACAAUUGGUUUUGAGGAGAUGUUUA